AUGAUCAUGCACUCGUAUUCCGAAAUGCACGACGAGCCACAGCUCACGGCCACCGCUGAUGGGACGCUCUCAGUGUUAUCGCUAUCGAGGCCGGGUCUCAGUCUUGACAUCUACACACGACAAGAAAAGAAAAAGAGUGACCAUGGUGGUAGUUCCAAGUGGCUUAGUGCCGGCACUAUCACAUUGAAACCACCUGGGCGUAUGGAAAGAAGAUCAAGGCCAAUAUUCUUGAGCUUGUUAGGAGAGAAAAGUGGCACGAUGCUACUCAAGGAUAACCAGAAGCAAAUUUAUAUGGCUGACCUUGAGACAGGAGUGAUGGAGGAGUUGACUGACUGUUUGGAUGGGCUUAACCGUCGGAAGAUCAUAUUGUUGGAGAUGGACUGGUCUGCGUUAUUCAUUUCACGACUUUAUAGGUGGUAG
rnacentral:rRNA from 1 species